rnacentral:rRNA from 1 species
CAGUAGCCGCGGUAAUACGAAGGGUGCAAGCGUUACUCGGAAUUACUGGGCGUAAAGCGUGCGUAGGUGGUGGGUUAAGUCCGUUGUGAAAGCCCUGGGCUCAACCUGGGAAUUGCAGUGGAUACUGGGUCACUAGAGUGUGGUAGAGGAUAGUGGAAUUUCCGGUGUAGCAGUGAAAUGCGUAGAGAUCGGAAGGAACAUCUGUGGCGAAGGCGACUAUCUGGGCCAACACUGACACUGAGGCACGAAAGCGUGGGGAGCAAACAGGAUUAGAUACCCGGGUAGUCCCUGUCUCUUAUAC